AUGGCUGUGGCCGUGGCUGUGAUGAGUUUGACAAUUGGUACCUCUUCAGGGAUGACUGAAAAAUUCAGACCUUUGACAAGUACUUCUUCUUUGGCUUAUUUACUGCUGGGAAAAGAGAAGUUCAUGUUGGAUCUAAGCCUGCUUGAACAAUCAUCACAAGACCUAUGGCCGGCCAUCAGCAGGAGGGUCCCCCUACAUGAGCCUGGUCCUGCUCAAGGUUUCUUCCUGUUAAAGGGGAGUUUUUCUUGUUUGGGGUUAUGCCCUGGGAUUCUGGAAAGUGCCCUGAAACUAUUUUGAUUGUAAAAGACGCUAUAUAAAUAAAGAUUGAUUUGAUGUCUGUACAUCUUUGUGCUACAUCAUUGUACUACUUCGGUUAUUUCAAAUGAUAAAAUUAGUUUAAGCUUUUGAUAAUUAUCAAUAAUUAUUAUCUAAUUAUAAUUAUCUCAAGUUUCCUGAAACAAACUAUUAUGAUGUUAAGUGCAAGAUAGCACAGCUGUCUAAUAAGAGACUAAUUGUUACGCUCGAGAGGACUGGCGGUCAAGUGUGGCGGAACCCCAAAGAAGGCAGACAGACACGGGAAUUAAAAAAGUAAACUCUGAAGGUUUAAUGAAGCAAAAAAACCAGGAGGGAAGAAACAAAAUGAGAGAGGCCGAGACAAACUAUAGGUGCGUGAUGCGGCAGACGAACCAAGUUCGAGAUCCAGGGGCGAGAGUCUGUGGGAGAGUCCAAGUGUCCAGAGGAUAGGAGAAAUCCGUCCGAGGAAGGGGAAGAGGAAGAGGAAGAGGUCAGAGGAAGAGGGGCUAGGAAGGUUGCAGAGGAGUCUCUGGAAGACGCAGGGAGACGCAGGGAGUCGCUGGGGAGCCUGGAGAGAUGCUGGGUCCACGGGACGUGUUGCCAAAAACAUCAGUAAGAUCAAGCACUGGCCUGAGUGCAUAGGGGCCUUUUAUGGGUGCAGAGUCGUUUGGGCGGAUUGGGUGCAGCUGCAGGAGAGGGCCCA
rnacentral:lncRNA from 1 species